GGGACUUUAAUUUAAGUUUUAAAAUAUACAAUUUGCAUUUGUAAAAUUUUUGAGUUCUA
rnacentral:tRNA from 1 species